rnacentral:rRNA from 1 species
UACGUAGGGUGCGAGCGUUGUCCGGAAUUAUUGGGCGUAAAGCGCGUGUAGGCGGCUUUGCAAGUCGGGUGUGAAAGCCCUCAGCUCAACUGAGGAAGUGCGCCCGAAACUGCAGAGCUUGAGUGCCGGAGAGGGUGGCGGAAUUCCCCAAGUAGAGGUGAAAUUCGUAGAUAUGGGGAGGAACACCGGUGGCGAAGGCGGCCACCUGGACGGUAACUGACGCUGAGACGCGAAAGCGUGGGUAGCAAACAGG